rnacentral:lncRNA from 1 species
AAGAUCGUAUUUUCAGUCUUGAUUAAUCGAUUAGUGUGUUUGUUCCCUUUCAAUAGGGGCAAUCCAAGAAUACCCAUUGCUGAGAUGGUCCAUUCAUGGGAUAAUUCCUUGAAUGAAUGCUCAAAAUCAUGCUUAUGAAAACAUUUGUGUACUAAAGUCACGAAGUUUUUCAUGCUUGAAGUUAUUGAGCUCUUUUGAAAAUGAUUUUGCAUGGUGACUUUUACAUAUUUAGUCCACUAAUUCCAGUAAGGAAUGUUAGGAUGGACCAAUUUAAUGAAUGAUGUGAAAUGGAUUGAGUAUGUCAAAUGAGACAUCUCAAGAUAAUGAAAGGCAAACCCUAUCCUAUACAUAGUUCCCUACUUAUACACUUGUGAGAUGAGUGUAGGAAGUUCCAUAUCCGCAAGGUAAAAAGUUUUCUUGUGAAAGGUACGAUGGCCAAAGUGAUGAGAGGUAGUACAUUUCUCUAUCCCAAACACUACAGGUGACCCAUUACUUAACCCCUUUGAACCCCAUACACUUGUGGUAUUUUUUUUCAAAUUAUCCCUGUCAAGAACCACCCCACCUCGGGACAAAUUGGAGGUAAGAUGGCAUCAUGAG